AUGGUUUGACCUCGGAUCAGGUAGGAUACCCGCUGAA
rnacentral:rRNA from 1 species